GCGCGCCUACAACUCCCAUCAUGCUACGCCGGGAACUGCACGGCUCCUCGCAGGAAAUAGGCAGCUCACCCUGCCACUUGUGCACACAUUUUUCUUCAAUGUAUAGUUCCUCGGCGCGCCUCUGGCCGUUUCCCGGAGCUCUUCAAUCCCAGAAGCUACAGCACAACGGCUGAAUAGCCAAGACCCCUGGGGAGGCGUGGCUUCAGCCGGAAGACGCUCCUGUUGCCAAGGGAACGGUGCCUGCCAAGGCGCCUGCUCAGCGACUGAUGCACAGGCUGCUGCAGAGGCUACCGGUUUUCCCAACUUGUAGAGACGGCUUUGCUCAUUACCAGGCAUCCUUCCCAUGUAGGCGUAGAGAAGAAGGCUGAAGGACCCUCGCACCAGAUUUCCAUCCCAGAGACCGAUACGAGUGGGUCCAUUCCUGUUACCAGCUCCUGCGCCUUCCGGACUAACCUCAAAAACCAGCUGGUUUGUAAAUAUUUGAGUCACAUUAUGGGAUUGCUAGACAGACUUUCAGUCUUGCUUGGCCUGAAGAAGAAAGAGGUUCAUGUUUUGUGCCUUGGGCUAGAUAAUAGUGGCAAAACGACUAUCAUUAACAAACUUAAACCUUCAAAUGCUCAAUCUCAAAAUAUCCUUCCAACAAUAGGAUUCAGCAUAGAGAAAUUCAAAUCAUCCAGUUUAUCAUUUACAGUUUUUGACAUGUCAGGUCAAGGAAGAUACAGAAAUCUCUGGGAACACUAUUAUAAAGAAGGUCAAGCUAUUAUUUUUGUCGUUGAUAGUAGUGAUAGAUUAAGAAUGGUUGUGGCCAAAGAAGAACUCGAUACUCUUCUGAAUCAUCCAGAUAUCAAACACCGUCGAAUUCCAAUCUUAUUCUUUGCAAAUAAAAUGGAUCUUAGAGAUGCAGUGACAUCUGUAAAAGUGUCUCAGUUGCUGUGUUUAGAGAACAUCAAAGAUAAACCCUGGCAUAUUUGUGCUAGUGAUGCCAUAAAAGGAGAAGGAUUGCAAGAAGGUGUAGACUGGCUUCAAGAUCAGAUCCAGACUGUGAAGACAUGAAAAGAUAAUAGUUGGAAACCUCUGCAAUUUUCAAUUCAAGGAAUCUAUCUAAGGCAAACAGAAUACUUUACAUUUUGUAAAAGAUGUAUAUGCAUCAAAAAAUAUAAUUUUCUGCUUGCAUUUAUGGACUCUGAAUGACUUUUUUAAGAACAUGGGACUUCAGUGGAUACAGAAUGAAAAUCUCAUUAAUCUAAAGUUGCUGCAGAUAUGGAAAGGACAUAAUGAUGGAAACAAUGAAUGUAAUUUUUUAAAAACUGAUAUGCUACAACUAUUUUAGGAUGGAGAAAGAACUGAUUGAGAAUUCAAAUCCUCGCUCACUUAUCGUAAGGUAAUAAUAAAAUUGGUAAGAGUUACUACUAUACGAUCUUAUAAGCAGGUAUUACACAUACAGAAUUUUCAUCAUUUAAUCCUCCCAAUAAGCCUAUGUGGUAGGUGUUAUUAUUUCUAUUUGAUAGAUCAGUAAACUGAGGCCUUAAAAUGUUAUGUGAAUUGCCAAAGUUCAGAGAGCUAGUAAGUCUGGUACUAGGAUUCAGUACCAAGCAGUCUGUUGAAGAGCGAUGAUUCAAGAGUAUGGUAGAUAUUAGAAAUACAGAUAUAUCUACCAGAAUAACAACUAAAAUGAUAGAAAAGCCUCUUUCUUGGGACAGCAACCAGGACAGGGAUGGUAGAGGGAAGGUCAGAGACUAGAGACUACUCUUUGUUUUUUUUUGAAAAAGCUAUUAACACUACUCAAAUUUUAAACUCUGGACAUAAAUGACUUUGAUAAAAGUUCUUAAAACUAUUUUAACAUUAAAUUAUUUGGUAUUCCACAAACUACAGUAGCUCAUACCUAUGCAAAUAUUUAGAAGAAGAAGUACCCUUUUUCUUUGUUUUCAUGAUCUCCAAAAUCUAGUUUUUAGUCUAUAAACAUCCAUCCCUACUCCACAUUUUCAUGUAAAGAUUAUGUAGAAAUAAGUUGGGCAACAGUGUAGUCACAGGAUGCCAUAUAAGUGUGAAUAAGCUGAGAUUAUUGCAUUUGUAUUUAGCAUAUUAUACAAUUAAAAUGUAUUUUAUUAAAGCUGAAGCAAGUUGGUUUUCAUGUCUAGACAUCACUGUGUUACAAAGUUUAAUUCAUUAAGCUCUGUAUUUGACUAUAACACCUUGUAAAAUGUUUGAAACUUAUCCUCUUGUGUGCUUUGCAUUUAAAUAUUUGUAUAUGGCCCUGUUCAGCCUGUGCUUUGUAAGUCACAAAAGGGCUGGGUUUUAUAUGUUUGUUUUUUAUUUCUAAGCUCUCUGUGAAAAAGUUAAAUAUUGUCUCCUGGUUGUUUAAGAUAUUUUUUCUUUGUAAUUUUUUAUAUCAUGUUGUGAUUUUCAUAAACAUGUGCAGUUACUCUUG